rnacentral:rRNA from 1 species
UUCCGAUCUCCAGGCUAAUACGCGAUACGCUCUACGGAGUAAAGAUUUAUCGCUUUGAGAGGAGCCUGUGUCCUAUCAGCUUGUUGGUGAGGUAAUAGCUCACCAAGGCUAUGACGGGUAGGGGGUGUGAGAGCAUGACCCCCAACAUUGGAACUGAGACACUGUCCAAACACCUACGGGUGGCUGCAGUCGAGAAUAUUCCACAAUGGACGAAAGUCUGAUGGAGCGACGCCGCGUGCGGGAUGAAGGCCUUCGGGUUGUAAACCGCUUUCAGUAGGGAAGAAGCGAAAGUGACGGUACCUACAAAAGAAGCACCGGCUAACUAUGUGCCAGCAGCCGCGGUAAUACAUAGGGUGCAAGCGUUGUCCGGAAUUAUUGGGCGUAAAGAGCUCGUAGGUGGUUAGUUACGUCGGAUGUGAAAAUCUAGGGCUCAACCCUAGACCUGCAUCCGAUACGGGCUAGCUUGAGUUUGGUAGGGGAGACUGGAAUUCCUGGUGUAGCGGUGGAAUGCGCAGAUAUCAGGAGGAACACCAAUGGCGAAGGCAGGUCUCUGGGCCAAUACUGACACUGAGGAGCGAAAGUCUGGGGAGCGAACAGGAUUAGAUACCCUGGUAGUCCAGACCGUAAACGGUGGGCACUAGUUGUGGGAACCUUCCACGGUUUCUGCGACGCAGCUAACGCAUUAAGUGCCCCGCCUGGGGAGUACGAUCGCAAGAUUAAAACUCAAAGGAAUUGACGGGGCCCCGCACAAGCAGCGGAGCAUGCGGCUUAAUUCGACGCAACGCGAAGAACCUUACCAAGGCUUGACAUAUACAGGAAAAUGGCAGAAAUGUCAUAGCCGCAAGGUCUGUAUACAGGUGGUGCAUGGUUGUCGUCAGCUCGUGUCGUGAGAUGUUGGGUUAAGUCCCGCAACGAGCGCAACCCUCGUUCUGUGUUGCCAGCAUUUAGUUGGGGACUCACAGGAGACUGCCGGGGUUAACUCGGAGGAAGGUGGGGAUGACGUCAAAUCAUCAUGCCCCUUAUGUCUUGGGCUGCACGCAUGCUACAAUGGCCGGUACAAAGUGCUGCGAGAUCGUAAGAUUGAGCGAAUCACAUAAAGCC